AUUGAACGCUGGCGGCAGGCCUAACACAUGCAAGUCGAACGAGGGGCGGACGGGUGAGGAAUGUGGGGGAAACUGCCUGAUGGAGGGGGAUAACUACGGGAAACGGUAGCUAAUACCGCAUACCAUCAGAUGUGCCCAGAUGGGAUUAGAUUGUUGGGGGGGUAACGGCUCACCAAGGCGACGAUCCCUAGCUGGUCUGAGAGGAUGACCAGCCACACUCGAACUGAGACACGGUCCAGACUCCUACGUGAGGCAGCAGUUGGGAAUAUUGCACAAUGGGCGCAAGCCUGAUGCAGCCAUGCCGCGUGUAUGAAGAAGGUCUUCGGGUUGUAAAGUACUUUCAGCGGGGAGGCGUUACCCGCAGAAGAAGCACCGGCUAACUCCGUGCCAGCAGCCGCGGUAAUAC
rnacentral:rRNA from 1 species